AUUGAACGCUGGCGGCAGGCCUAACACAUGCAAGUCGAGCGGAGCGGCGGACGGGUGAGUAAUGCCUAGGAAUGUGCCAGUUAGUGGGGGAUAACGUUCGCAACUGUGAGCUAAUACUGCAUACUAUCACAUGAGUCUAGGUCGGAUUAGCUAGUUGGUGGGGUAAAGGCCUACCAAGGCGACGAUGCGUAACUGGUCCGAGAGGAUGACCAGUCACACUGGAACUGAGACACGGUCCAGACUCCUACGGGAGGCAGCAGUGGGUAAUAUUGGACAAUGGGCGAAAGCCUGAUCCAGCCAUGCCGCGUGUGUGAAGAAGGUCUUCGGAUUGUAAAGCACUUUCAGUUGGGAGGCGUUACCAACAGAAUAAGCACCGGCUAACUUCGUGCCAGCAGCCGCGGUAAUAC
rnacentral:rRNA from 1 species